rnacentral:tRNA from 1 species
GGGGUAGUGGCUUAGUGGUAGAGUGCUUGCCUAGCAUGCUUGGGGCACUGGGUUCGAUCCCCUACACCA